CCUACGGGUGGCAGCAGUGAGGAAUAUUGGUCAAUGGACGAGAGUCUGAACCAGCCAAGCAGCGUGAAGGAUGACUGCCCUAUGGGUUGUAAACCUCUUUUAUAAAGGAAUAAAACGCGGCACGUGUGCCUUUUUGCAUGUACUUUAUGAAUAAGGAUCGGCUAACUCCGUGCCAGCAGCCGCGGUAAUACGGAGGGUCCGAGCGUUAUCCGGAUUUAUUGGGUUUAAAGGGUGCGUAGAUGGGUUGUUAAGUCAGUUGUGAAAUUUUGGGGCUCAACCGUAGCAUUGCAGUUGAUACUGGCAGUCUUGAGUACGCUUGAGGUAGGCGGAAUUCGUGGUGUAGCGGUGAAAUGCUUAGAUAUCACGAAGAACCCCGAUUGCGAAGGCAGCUUACUGAACUCUGACUGACAUUGAUGCACGAAAGUGUGGGUAUCGAACAGGAUUAGAUACCCCAGUAGUC
rnacentral:rRNA from 1 species